rnacentral:rRNA from 1 species
AUGGGUGCAACAUCAACAAAUUCGCUCAUGAUCAAGUUACAACCUAAGAUCUAUGACUAUAUUAUGUUAACUGUUCGUAUUUUGUUCAUUCCAUCGGUAUGCUCCCAGGUACCUGUAAUUGUGAUCUGUUUGCCAGAACCAAGGGGUCUUUCUGUGGAAACCUUCACGAGCAAUCGUCGUUUUUUGAUGGUUUUUCUGCUUUUCACAGCUGCUCUUUCCACACCCCCGGAUAUCUGGUGCCAAACCAUCGCCCCUUUCCUUAUAUAUUCGAUAAUCGAGUUUUCUAUCUUUGUGGCAUUGAUUGUACAAGUUCGUGAAGAGGGCUGGACGAGUAGAAUGAGGGAAAGCGGCUCGAUCGAGAAAAAAGAGGAGUAG